UGCCAGCAGCCGCGGUAACACGGGGGGCGCAAGCGUUAUUCGGAAUUAUUGGGCGUAAAGGGCGCGUAGGUUGAUUGGUCAGUCAGAUGUGAAAGCCCCGGGCUCAACCUGGGAACUGCACCUGAUACUGCCAGUCUAGAAUACGGUAGAGGGUAGUGGAAUUUCCUGUGUAGCGGUGACAGGCGUAGAUAUAGGAAGGAACACCAGUGGCGAAGGCGACUACCUGUACCGAUAUUGACACUGAGGUGCGAACGCUUGGUGCGAAAACAGGAUUCGAUC
rnacentral:rRNA from 1 species